AAUGAACGCUGGCGGCGCGCCUAAUACAUGCAAGUCGAGCGAGAAGACGUAGCAAUACGUUUGUAAAGCGGCGAACGGGUGAGGAAUACAUGGGUAACCUACCCUAGAGUGGGGAAUAACUAGCCGAAAGGUUAGCUAAUACCGCGUACGCUCCUUGGACUUCGGUUCAGGGAGGAAAGCGAUGCCGAGGUAUCGCGCUCUUGGAUGGACUCA
rnacentral:rRNA from 1 species